GAUGGGCAAAGUUGCUUUUCUGGAUUUUCUGCUAGCAGUGCUGCAGGGGGUGACAGUAUGCCGAAACUUCGUUUCCGAAAAAAGACAAGGGCCACGCAGAAGAGUCACACAGAAGUCCUCGAUCGUUUCCUCCUUCAUUUCCAGGGAUGUACAGUAAUUCCAACAUGGCUUAGGAGAGUUUCCUAAACAAUCAAGAGCCCCUUAGAAUUCCUGCCUCAUAUUUUUCCUCAGGUUAGGAGGCUACGGUUCAUAAUGUCUGAAAGGUUCUUUCAUGAACAAACCUCCUCAUGUCUUGCAAACUCAAGCCUGUGGCUUCCGUUAUUGAGUCUAUCCAUCUGGCGUUCAGCCUCUGCCUCCUGCCUCCCAUGGUCCCCAGCAUCACUGUCUCCUGUGGCGAGCCUUGUCUUCUCACGGUAUGUCCAAAAUUCGAUCAUCUACGUUUAGUUAUUCACACAUGCGGUGAGAAUCCAGGCUUUGGAUGGUCUGGAAGCUGUUUAUUGAUUUUUCUCCGCGUUUGGAAGGACUGCUUUUUAAAACAACUCCCCAAAAGACUUCUUUUUAAAACCAAAAACUCCCAGAAUGCCCCAGCCAACAUGUUCUCUGGACCUCAACUCCCAGCAUCCCCCAGGGGGCAAUUUGUUUUUGGACCACAAUUCCCAGCAUCCCCUAGGAAGCAGAGUUCAUUUUUGGACCACAAUUCCCAGCAUCCCCUAGGAAGCAGAGUUCAUUUUUGGACCACAAUUCCCAGCAUCCCCCAGGAAGCAGAGUUUUUUUUGGACCACAAUUCCCAGCAUCUCCCAGGAAGCAGAGUUCGUUUUUGGACCACAAUUCCCAGCAUCCCCCAGGAAGCAGUUUAUUUUUUGGACCACAAUUCCCAGCAUCCCCCAGGAAGCAGAGUUUGUUUUUGGACCACAAUUCCCAGCAUCCCCCAGGCAGCAGGGUUCGUUUUUGAACCACAGUUCCCAGCAUCCCCUCAGCCAGCCAGCCGGCCAAGGUGGACGAAAGCCCUGGUCUUCCUGGCCCCGCCCAGUGCCCAAAGAGCCCGCNNNNNNNNNNNNNNNNNNNNNNNNNNNNNNN
rnacentral:lncRNA from 1 species